UAGGGAAUCUUCCACAAUGGGCGCAAGCCUGAUGGAGCAACACCGCGUGAGUGAAGAAGGGUUUCGGCUCGUAAAGCUCUGUUGUUAAAGAAGAACACGUAUGAGAGUAACUGUUCAUUCGAUGACGGUAUCUAACCAGCAAGUCACGGCUAACUACGUGCCCG
rnacentral:rRNA from 1 species